CAAGGAAGUGAGAGGGGAUGAGGGAGAUGUGAGGGGAAGGUCCACCAAGGUGUGUGGACUGACUGGAUGGGAUAUUUUAAGGGUGUUCAGAGCAGAAAGCAGGCCGUGGAUUUGAUGUGGUCCCCGUGGGGCUGGGGAACAGGAGGAUCAGAGGCUGGACCACAAUCCCUCCGUUAUCACCCCUCCCUGCACACUUCCUUCCCACCCCUGCCAGCUUUGCCAUCAGUAGUUGCCACAUCCCCAGCCUGGCAUUUUUCCUUUCUGGGUAUUUUUUGCCUGGGGAUUAUUAUUCAUAUUCAGUCUAUUUCUGGACUUUUCGUUUAUACUAAUAGUACUUUUCUCCAAACCAAGAUAUAACUUUAUUCUGUAAGUACUUGUUAUUAAAGAAAACAAACUUAACAUUACAAACAUUAUACAUUUGCAUUAAUUAAUAUCAAAUUAAAAUGAAUAACAUACUGGUGAUAAUUGAUCAAUUAAUCCAACAAUAACAGUUGACUAAUAUCAAGAUAAAAGGCAAAUCAGAAGACAUGUGUGUGGUUCGCCAAGUCUGUUAAGCAAGCAGGACAGAGCCCCUGCCCUCCCAAUGCUCCCAGGCACGUGGAGACCCGGGGGCUGGCGCACAGCUCAGGUGUCUGCUUGGACCAGGCUACAAUUAAGAUUCUAACCUUACGGUAUUUGCUUUUGUAAUAGUAUCAGCACUACACUGAGAUUUGCUGCAUUUUUAAGUAAAAUCAUUGAUUUUUACAUAGAAUUUGAAGCACAGAUAGACUCCCGUCACCACCCAAAUCCUUCCAGCCCUGAAUUUAAAUCCUGGCUCUGCCACUUACUCAGCGUAGCAAACUACUUAACCUCCUUCAACGUGCACGUUGUUGCCCAAGACUUAAAAAAACAAAAGUGUAAAAUGCCUAGAGCACACCAAAUAAAACAAUGCUUUCUAUUCUCAUUACUUUGGUUAAGGAAAAUGCCAUUUUUAAAAUACAUUAACUAUUAAAGUGUUGGGUUUUUUUUUUUUUCCUUUGAAGAAGAAAAACCAGACGGAUCAUUUAGUGAGCCGUGGAAACCCAUCUGUUUACUAAAUAUGAUGAGUUUUCAGUCCUAGGUCUUUCAAAAAUACUCUCACAAAUAAAUGGUCACUGAAACUGUCUUUUCCAAAGAUAGUUCAAAUUUCUUUCAGUGGGUUCUUUCAUUUGAAUCCAAAACUCCGACAGGAUUCUGAAAACUACUUCUCUUCUCUCCUCGUAUUAGGAAGCAUCGCUCUGUCCAGGUUUAGAUAUGCUCUAAGACAGUAAGUCCACUUCCUAGAAUUUACCUGUUCGACCAAGCCCUGCAUGACAAUGGAUGGCUACUUUCCCUUCCUGUAAGGCAAAUGUCGUCACCUUCACCAUGUCUAAGACAGUGGUAAGCGAUGCCACACCGUAAUCCUUCCAUCCGAAAUUGUAGAAAUAGACUGGACAAUGAAACAGAGAACAGAGAAGAAAAAUCAACAUAAAGGACAGUACGUGAGCAGCCGUGUGAAGGAAGCGCGUGGAUUCGUGAAAAGCGCACAGCUGUGAGGCAGGCUGGCUGCACCUCAUGCGGAGGCUAAAAUAAUAGGUUCUUUGUAUUUCCGGUAAAUUUACUGUUUGCAUUUCUUACAAAGCACAUUCUCUAUUACUCAAGACAUUUCCUGCUAAAACUCAGCCAGAAACAAUUAAGGAGAAACAGGACUGCAGAUUAAUAAAGGCCACGACCUUCACCCAAAUUACUCAGCCACAGAAGGACAGCACGCCAUCUUGUUCAAGCGUGGAAAUGCGUUUAAAGGACUGGCAAGUGGCACAAGCUGGGUGCAUACAGAUUUUCCACCUGGUGGAGACAAAAAAGCGAGGCACACGCUUCUUAGAAACAAGUCCCCAAAGUGGCCUGGGCUGGUCCUUUCCAGCCUGGUGAGAAUGGCACGUGUUGAGUGACCCCAUCCCUAGGCUCCCGGACUUGGGCUCCUGGGACUGCCCAGUAAAGAACCCCUGAGUACCACCCAGGGGCAGAGUCGGGCUUCAGUAACAGCAUGAGUGAGUGCUGUGUUCCAGUCCCGCUGCCAUGAGUAAGCCGUGUGGUCUGAGUCGGAACAGAGAGCAGUACCACGGGAUGGGACGGAUGGGUAGGACAGGUCUGGCGCACUACGAUGGCAAUUCAUGCACGCUUUGUUUCUACAGGGCUCGUCCCAAGAUCGCUCGCACGGGACAAAAGAAAUCCUGUACUUUCAACAGCAACGCCAGAGAAGAAUGGUCGCAUUGUCUAGAAUCAAUCAGCUCAUCUCCCCCGUUGGGAGCCUACAUUGAAAGAAGCCCUUCACUGCCUACUCUUUGACUAUUUGAAGUCAAAAGUGACAGACAAGAAGACGCGAGCUGGCUUAUCGAAGUGUGUCAGCGUGCAGCAUUUACCUUCGGAACUGCUCGAUGAUGCAGUACUUCUCGAGGAGCUCAGUGGACGGGCGAGCCAUGGCCAAGAUGUUGUCAGUGACCCUGAGGUGGGAGGACGGGGCUGGUGAGAUGCACAAAACCUGGAACGUUCUAGCUCUAAGUACUGAGAGAACGAGUUAUCAAGUCCCUGUUUUUUUCUACGAUUUCAACAGUUGUAGAACAAUUUUCUUAUACAGCUCUGGGUUCAAUUUUGCAUCACAAUUAGGGCUCUAAGAGACCCUGAAAGCCUGGAAAAAAUUCCAGGACGUAAAGUAUUUGUGGACUGCAGCAGAGUGUUUUCAAGGACUCUCAUGAGAUUCUAGCAGACGUGACAGAGCCACCUCAUCGGGCAUCAAAGGCAAUUCUGCCCCCCAGUCACCCGUUGUGUGAGGCAGGGAUAACGCCUGCCUCGUGGGGUUGGCACGACAAUUCGACAAGGUGUGGGUGUAAAGUCUUUAGCACAAAUCCUGGCGAGUGGUUAUGAAUAAAUGCCGACUUAUUGUGAUUUAGCGAAACAUCUGGGCUUUGGGGUCAGCCGGGUCUGGUUUCAAACGCUGGCUUUUCUGCUUUCUAGCUAAGUAGUAGAUUACUUAGUUGCUCCGGACUCAAUCCUCUCAUCAUUAAAAGGACAUUAACAAUGUCUACUUUUCCAGCGCUUCAUGAAGAUGACAUUAUAAUGUGACAGUGUCUAGCAGAGCGCCUGGCCUGUAGACGAAUGGACUUUUAUGGAAAGUACGAAUGGACAGAGGCCCGACAGACAGCGGAUCCUGCUUAGGGCUCUGGUGAGAAACACCGGGCAGUCCAUCAGGGGCUGUGGGCCACAUGAACCUGAGCAGUAACAGAGACGUCGGCUGAGCUGAUCAGGGUCCAGAAGGAUACCGCAACUCUCCCCCAGGGCGAGUCCUGACAUUUAACGGGGACCCCCCAAAUUCAGCAGGAGUCAGACCAAGGCGAGGACAGAAGGACCAUGAAAGCAUCAGAGGUGAAAGACUCAGAUGGCUUAGUCAACAGUGAAACAAAAAUAUUAAUGGGGCCUCGAGCUGCAUUAUUAGAAAUUUAGGGUCCGACCACAUCUCAGGAACACUGUUUGCUUUCUCACAACACUCCUCAGGCUGGAAUGCAAUCUGUGGGGAACAGUGGGGACAGCCGACCCGAUUCCACCACCACACGCAUACCAGCAAGCCCAGGACGCAAGAGCGCGGGUGCAGUCAGGUAAGCGGGUCGACAAACGUCUGACCUGGAAGCGGGAUUCCCGCUGCAAGAAAUGACUCACUGCUAGAGUUCUUUAAACGGUGAACUCUUAGUGGGUUUCAGACAUGAUGUGGCUUGAUUACCACACGUUUUCAGAGGUAUCACUACAUCAAAGCAGGCAUACUUGAGAGUUUACUGUUAAGAACAGAAAGCGGUAUGACCGAAUGCUGAGCCAGCCACAUCCCGUACUUCGCACGAGGCGUGUGCCUUACGCCAUCCUGAGCCUACAUGGCGCACGGCUCCCCACUGAGGCAGAUGGGCAGCGUGUGCACCCACGCGCGCCCUUUCACGCGGCAGACGGGAGCAAACAGGAGGCCAACGGUACCUGCGUCAGACCAGGAAACCACACACGCACCUUGUAACUUCUCAAACUUAGAGCCGAAUCCAUUAUUUCCAGUAACUUCUGACAUGUAAGACCUCCCCGGUCACCAUUUCUUUAAGAUACUUUACACACGUCAUUUCACUUGCUUAAAAAAACGCUAUGGGGUGAUUUUAUUAUUUCCAUCUCACCGACGAGGAAACGAGGUUUCACACCGCUGCUGGAGCUGCCAGGCCCGCAGGCUGCACAGCCCCACCGCCCAGCGCGGGUGCCCAGGACCACUCACCAGGACGAGUAGACCCCCUUAAUGGCUUGCUCCUGCUCGCUCCAGCGCGCCGGGUUUUCGUACUUGCAAGCUCUGCCGCCACACGCCACGGAGCAGGCCACGUGUCCAGGAAUCACAUGUCGCAGCCGCUCUCCGACCUUUGUGUACUUUGGCGUUGGACGCCCUGGAUUUCCUAGAAUGUACACGGAAGGGAAGAUUCAAAACCCAGUCUCCAGAUGGAAGAGUAGCGUGAGAACGCCCUCCAGGAUUGGAGACGACGUUCCUGCUGCACCCCCUCAUUCUGCCACAGUGAAACCGCUGCCUUGUGCUCUAAGAGCAGGACCUCCCAACACAGAAGAGGCGCUCGCACAUGAUCACCUCCACGUGUCACACUGGUGGCGAAGAAGAAGAAACCGUAAAAGCAGAUCUUUUACAAGGGCAUGGGUUUUUUCAAAAAUUAUGUUUUCGUGAAAAAGCACAAAACAUCCGAUCACUUUAUCUCCUAUUCCAUGUCCACUGAAGCCCUGAGUGCAACAGACGGUAAAAAGCGGAACGCAGAAUUAACUGUCAAAACCUAGACGGUCUCAACACAGCAUGCCACCUGCAGUCUCAGUUCAUACUCAAAGCUGUGGCAAUCUGAAAGAAGGAAAAGAACUUUACUUUUUCUCUGGAGGCACGCUGAGUCCCUGUCGGCGCGGCGGACGGAGGCCACGGCCACCAUCACCUGCAGAGAGGACGAGGACAGCGUCUGGGCGGCGGAGCCCCGGCGGCCCUGCUGCAGCUGCAGGACAGGGUCCGAGGCCGAGUGCCGGCGGCCCUGCAGGAAGGCGCUGAGGAAGGGCAGGGCAGAGCCCCGCCGGGGCAGGUCCUGCAUGGCCGGGGAUGGCAGCGCCAGCCUGCUCUGCCACCAACUCACUCACUGAGCCCAGAGCACCAGCCUGCGAUCAGCCUGCGAGAUCCACCAGCCGCUCAGGAUAGGCGGGCUUGUUGCCACGGUGACGAACAAAGAAACUACUGAUUCCCACUCAGAGCUGCAUCCUCGAAAUCCCACAUGAAUGGACUGCAGUUUGGAGGGAUUGUUGGAGCAGGGGGAAGAGGAACGUGUAUUUUCAGUAGAUUAUAUACCCAAGUUGUAACGAGUCUCUUUUUUCUCAGACUCAGCUGGAAGUCCUGACAGAUCAAAGAAUUGCAUCUAACAACACAUUGUGAUGAAUUAAGAAAAAUGUGUUCAUGACACAAACCCUGCCUUUUAUACACACUUUAAAAGGUUUAAAUUCUGCUGUU